rnacentral:pre_miRNA from 1 species
AUCUUUGCCGAUUAUUCCUUCUGCACCACAAGGAUGCCAUGAGGUUCCCUUCCUUCUGUAGACAGAUAUGGUGCAAGGUGGAACUUUCCACAUGAUAGGGAAGGCACCGUGAGGUAGGGAAUGGUGUGCCUUCCUUCGUGCAAGAGGGAAAAGAGGGAUGUCAGAGCCAGCAUAGAUGAUUGCAGCGGACCAGGGUGAUUGGAGCAGGCUCCUCCCCUUGUUUGGUGCCGGUUGGUUGUGCCUGCUAUGGCUUUCCCUGCCAGCAUCAAGCCAUCAACUGUGAUGGGGGUGCGCAAGGGAGGGAUGCACAUUUGGGAUAAGCAAAGAUGUUGAUCUCUUGUGGCUAGAAGGGUGAGGGGCAAAAUA